CUGAAAUUCCUCUUCGACAUUUCCGAAAAAUGAUGCACCAUCACAAUACCUUCAAUUUAUUCCAAUUGUAAAAGUCUGCAGGUUCAGACGAACCAAUUAAAAUCAAUACCAUCAUGAAUUGACAAGCACCUCAGUUUGUUCAAUUUGUAUACACCACACACACAUAUUGCAACGUACUCCCUACAAGCUACUUGGAGCAACAAUAAAUUAA
rnacentral:lncRNA from 1 species